AUUUCUCAAAGUUUUUGAUUUUUAAAGGUUUUUAACUCUCUUUAUUUUUCUAUUUUUUUCUUCUAUAAAUAUUAAAUUAAUAUGACGUUGUGAAAUCUAACCGGAUUUUGGAUCCUGCCAUGUAACCAUGGUCAUUAGCGAUUCCACAAAUCCAACAUGUUUUUUCACAUCUUCAUGUAUAUUUAGCAUUUUUUUUUUUUUUUUUUUUUUUUAAAAAG
rnacentral:sRNA from 1 species